UACGAAGGGGGCUAGCGUUGUUCGGAAUUACUGGGCGUAAAGCGCACGUAGGCGGACUAUUAAGUCAGGGGUGAAAGCCCGGGGCUCAACCUCGGAACUGCCUCUGAUACUGUUAGUCUCGAGACCGGGAGAGGUGAGUGGAAUUCCUAGUGUAGAGGUGAAAUUCGUAGAUAUUAGGAAGAACACCAGUGGCGAAGGCGGCUCACUGGUCCGGUUCUGACGCUGAGGUGCGAAAGCGUCGGGAGCAAACAGG
rnacentral:rRNA from 1 species